UGGGGAAUAUUGCACAAUGGGCGCAAGCCUGAUGCAGCCAUGCCGCGUGUAUGAAGAAGGCCUUCGGGUUGUAAAGUACUUUCAGCGGGGAGGAAGUGAGUAAAGUUAAUACCUUUGCUCAUUGACGUUACCCGCAGAAGAAGCACCGGCUAACUCCGUGCCAGCAGCCGCGGUAAUACGGAGGGUGCAAGCGUUAAUCGAAAUUACUGGGCGUAAAGCGCACGCAGGCGGUUUGUUAAGUCAGAUGUGAAAUCCUCGGGCUCAACCUGGGAACUGCAUCUGAGACUGGCAAGCUUGAGUCUCGUAGAGGGGAGUAGAAUUCCAGGUGUAGCGGUGAAAUGCGUAGAGAUCUGGGGGAAUACCGGUGGCGAAGGCGGCCCCCUGGACGAAGACUGACGCUCAGGUGCGAAAGCGUGGGGAGCAAACAGG
rnacentral:rRNA from 1 species